rnacentral:rRNA from 1 species
GAUGAACGCUGGCGGCGCGCCUAACACAUGCAAGUCGAACGGCACCCCUCCUCGGAGGGCAGCGAGUGGCGAACGGCUGAGUAACACGUGGAGAACCUGCCCCCUCCCCCGGGAUAGCCGCCCGAAAGGACGGGUAAUACCGGAUACCCCGGGGUGCCGCAUGGCACCCCGGCUAAAGCCCCGACGGGAGGGGAUGGCUCCGCGGCCCAUCAGGUAGACGGCGGGGUGACGGCCCACCGUGCCGACAACGGGUAGCCGGGUUGAGAGACCGACCGGCCAGAUUGGGACUGAGACACGACCCAGACUCCUACGGGAGGCAGCAGUGGGGAAGCGUGCGCAAUGGGGGGAACCCUGACGCAGCGACGCCGCGUGCGGGACGGAGGCCUUCGGGGCGGAAACCGCUUUCAGCAGGGAAGAGUCAAGACUGUACCUGCAGAAGAAGCCCCGGCUAACUACGUG